rnacentral:rRNA from 1 species
UACGUAGGUGGCGAGCGUUGUCCGGAUUUACUGGGCGUAAAGGGAGCGUAGGCGGACUUUUAAGUGAGAUGUGAAAUACUCGGGCUCAACUUGAGUGCUGCAUUUCAAACUGGAAGUCUAGAGUGCAGGAGAGGAGAAUGGAAUUCCUAGUAUAGCGGUGAAAUGCGUAGAGAUUAGGAAGAACACCAGUGGCGAAGGCGAUUCUCUGGACUGUAACUGACGCUGAGGCUCGAAAGCGUGGGGAGCAAACAGG